AUUGAACGCUGGCGGCAUGCUUUACACAUGCAAGUCGAACGGUAACAGGUUAAGCUGACGAGUGGCGAACGGGUGAGUAAUGCAUCGGAACGUGCCCGAUCGUGGGGGAUAACGCAGCGAAAGCUGCGCUAAUACCGCAUACGAUCUGAGGAUGAAAGCGGGGGACCGUAAGGCCUCGCGCGAUCGGAGCGGCCGAUGUCAGAUUAGGUAGUUGGUGGGGUAAAGGCUCACCAAGCCGACGAUCUGUAGCUGGUCUGAGAGGACGACCAGCCACACUGGGACUGAGACACGGCCCAGACUCCUACGGGAGGCAGCAGUGGGGAAUUUUGGACAAUGGGCGCGAGCCUGAUCCAGCAAUGCCGCGUGCAGGAAGAAGGCCUUCGGGUUGUAAACUGCUUUUGUACGGAGCGAAAAGGCUCUCUCUAAUACAGGGGGCUCAUGACGGUACCGUAAGAAUAAGCACCGGCUAACUACGUGCCAGCCGCCGCCGUAAGAC
rnacentral:rRNA from 1 species